GAUUUAAUUUACUAAAGGUUGCGCACUCAUGAGCAUUCGUUAACGUUUGGCAUUUUCGUCUUGGACAGUGAAAAACCACAGAAUGGCUAUCAUGUGUGAUUGGGUUUUCUCUGCGAUGCGAAAGUAAAAUUGGGCGGAAUGGGAGGCAAUGCUUAAGAUGGAUAUCUACUUUGGACCAUGGUUACGAAAGUCGGCGUGUUAAAGCAGUAAGAUGAUCCCACCGCUAAUAAAGAUACAUCAACGAGCUUCUUAAGUCGUAGGGAAGAAAGCAUGAACAUUUGUUUUUGAAGAGUUGUAGAUAUGGUCAUAAGUCGACUUAAAGACUGUGAAUAGGAACCGUUAUAAUACACACUCAUUUAUGUUAAUUUUA